AUUGAACGCUGGCGGAAUGCUUUACACAUGCAAGUCGAACGGCAGCACGGACUUCGGUCUGGUGGCGAGUGGCGAACGGGUGAGUAAUACAUCGGAACGUGCCCAAUCGUGGGGGAUAACGUAGCGAAAGCUACGCUAAUACCGCAUACGAUCUAAGGAUGAAAGCGGGGGAUCGCAAGACCUCGCGCGAUUGGAGCGGCCGAUGGCAGAUUAGGUAGUUGGUAGGGUAAAGGCCUACCAAGCCGACGAUCUGUAGCUGAUCUGAGAGGACGAUCAGCCACACUGGGACUGAGACACGGCCCAGACUCCUACGGGAGGCAGCAGUGGGGAAUUUGGACAAUGGACGCAAGUCUGAUCCAGCCAUUCCGCGUGCAGGAUGAAGGCCCUCGGGUUGUAAACUGCUUUUGUACAGAACGAAAAGGCCCUGGUUAAUACCUAGGGCUCAUGACGGUACUGUAAGAAUAAGCACCGGCUAACUACGUGCCAGCAGCCGCAGUAAUAC
rnacentral:rRNA from 1 species